GAGGAAUACAUGGGUAAUCUACCAUCGAGUGGGGAAUAACCAGCCGAAAGGUUGGCUAAUACCGCGUACGCUUCCGAGUCUUCGGGCUUGGAAGGAAAGCCGCACUGUGAGUGCGGCGCUCUUUGAUGAGCUCAUGUCCUAUCAGCUUGUUGGUAGGGUAACGGCUACCAAGGCUUUGACGGGUAGCUGGUCUGAGAGGACGAUCAGCCACACUGGCACUGCGACACGGGCCAGACUCCUACGGGAGGCAGCAGUAAGGAAUAUUGCGCAAUGGGCGAAAGCCUGACGCAGCGACGCCGCGUGGGGGAUGAAAGGUCUUCGGAUUGUAAACCCCUUUCGGGAGGGAAGAUGGAGCGAGCAAUCGUUCGGACGGUACCUCCAGAAGCAGCCACGGCCAACUUCGUG
rnacentral:rRNA from 1 species